GAUGAACGCUGGCUGCAUGCUUAACACAUGUAAGUCGGACGGGACGUGGUGUUUCCCGUGGCUGACGGGUGAGUAACGCGUAAGAUCCUGCCCUUGGGAGGGGAACAACAACUGGAAACGGUUGCUAAUACCCCGUAGCCUGAGUAGCACUCGGAGGAAUCCGCCCGAGGUGGGGUUUGCGUCUGAUUAGCUAGUUGGUGAGGUAAUAGCUUACCAAGGCGAUGAUCAGUAGCUGGUCCGAGAGGAUGAUAAGCCACACUGGGAGUGAGACACGGAGGAGAGGCCUAGGGGAGGCAGGAGAGGGGAAUUAGCCGCAAUGGGCGAAAGCCGGACGGAGCAAGGCGGGGUGGAGGUAGAGGGGCGACGGGUCGGGAACGUCUGUUAGCGAAGAAGAAACAAUGACGGGAUCUGAGGAAUAAGCAUCGGCUAACUCUGUG
rnacentral:rRNA from 1 species